rnacentral:rRNA from 1 species
CAGCGGCGGACGGGUGAGUAACACGUGGGCAAUCUGCCCGAUACUCUGGGAUAACGCUUGGAAACGAGUGCUAAUACCGGAUGGUCUUCUUGGCCGCAUGGCCGAGAAGGAAAAGACGCGUUCGCGUCGGUGUCGGAUGAGCCCGCGGCGCAUUAGCUAGUUGGUGAGGUAACGGCUUACCAAGGCAACGAUGCGUAGCCGACCUGAGAGGGUGAUCGGCCACACUGGAACUGAGACACGGUCCAGACUCC